AUUGAACGCUGGCGGGAUGCUUAACACAUGCAAGUCGGGCGAGUGGCGGACGGGUGAGUAAUGUAUGGGGAUCUGCCCGAUGGAGGGGUAUAACUACUGGAAACUGUAGCUAAUACCGCAUACCAUCAGCUGAACCCAUAUGGGAGUAGAUUGUAGGUAGGGUAACGGCGUACCAAGGCGACGAUCCCUAGCUGGUCUGAGAGGAUGAUCAGCCACACUGGGACUGAGACACGGCCCAGACUCCUACGGGAGGCAGCAGUGGGGAAUAUUGCACAAUGGGCGCAAGCCUGAUGCAGCCAUGCCGCGUGUAUGAAGAAGGCCUUCGGGUUGUAAAGUACUUUCAGUCGGGAGGCGUUACCGACAGAAGAAGCACCGGCUAACUCCGUGCCAGCAGCCGCGGUAAUAC
rnacentral:rRNA from 1 species